ensembl:snoRNA SNORD116 Small nucleolar RNA SNORD116
UCAUUGAUCAUGACUCUCACAUAUGCAUUCCUCAGAAAAGUGAACAAAAUGAGUAGUAAAUCUAUUAAAAUCUAUUAAAUCUAUUAAAAUCU